UACGUAGGGUGCAAGCGUUAAUCGGAAUUACUGGGCGUAAAGCGUGCGCAGGCGGUUGUGUAAGUCAGAUGUGAAAUCCCCGGGCUCAACCUGGGAAUGGCAUUUGGGACUGCAAGGCUGGAGUUUGGCAGAGGAGACUGGAAUUCCCGGUGUAGCAGUGAAAUGCGUAGAUAUCGGGAGGAAUACCGAUGGCGAAGGCAGGUCUCUGGGCUAUAACUGACGCUCAUGCACGAAAGCGUGGGGAGCAAACAGG
rnacentral:rRNA from 1 species